AGUACUACAUCCAUAUCUGAAAAUAUCAUUUUUUUCAAUGGUUUAUUUAUUUGUAUCAAAUGACUUGCAGUAUUUUGAUUAUUUCAUACCCUGGAUUGAAUAUUGAAAUGCGACUUAUGUCCUAUUUCGUCAAUGUUCCACCUGUGUUUUAUCUUUGUAUGAUUCCAACGAACAUUUUACCAAAACGUUAAGUGUUGUAAAUCCCCCAAUAGUCUUUUAAAUUCGGUUCGAUGUUUGCUUUUUACUUAAUUAUAUCCGUAUUUUAGCCAAUAUACCUGUUUCGUCUCUGUUAUUCGAAAUCUGUGAUAAGCUAUUCAUGAUACAGGUUACAGGUACAUUCUUGUUUAUCUAUACC
rnacentral:lncRNA from 1 species